AUGAAUAUAACAUUUCUGUCCCCAAACCAAACCGUUGCCAUCCCUAAUGAUGAGUUUAUGGCAUUAAUGCCGCGCUCCAAUCAUCCAAUAUAAGAAUCAUUUUGUGGUAUGAAUGAAUGGAUGUAGGCAAAUAGGCAAUUGUAAACUACCUACCUCUUGGCCUACAAUAUGUCCACUAAUUUAUACGUAUCAAUAAUGUACCGUUGGGUGCGUAUUAUGGAGCCACUUUUGCGUGUGCGACAGGCUGCAGAUUCACCCAGCUUGGACUAGGUGUUGCAGCUCCCCGCCCAUCCAAGUUUGUACCUUCAAAUGAUCCCUUGAAAGGAAAUUACGUUACAUGUUGGAUGCCGCAAGAAGAAAUGCUGCUAAAAUUGCGGAGGAGUCCACACUAGCUGCUAAAGAUGAUGACGAUGAUGACGAUGAUAUUGAUGAUGAAGAAGACAGCAGAACUAGUGCCUUUGCAAAGAAAAGACCAGCAGCUCUAGUUCAUGAGAAAUGCUAGUUAGUUUUUUUUUUUUUUGGAAGCUGAGAAAUGCCAGUUUGUGUUUAUGUAAUUAUAUGGUAUGGGAGGCAAAUGAGCUGCAUUGCACAACAUUGUUGUAUAAAUUAAGUCACUUUCUUAAAACCUGACAUAAUUUUUUGUUAUUAUUAAAGAGGCUUGUGUGUUUGCAAAUCACUUUUGCAGC